AUCGCACUAAUUUGUUCGUUGAGCUCUAAACUAUAUUCUUGAUGUCGCCGUUGUCCGUUGAGUGUCUUCAAUCUUGAUUUCACUUGAUUCACUUGCAUAAAUAUUAUCCUUCAAAAACUAGUGAAAAUGUGAAAUACAAUAUUUAUUAUUUUUACUUAAGACACAUGUUUGUUAUCAUCAAAAUUACAUUAUGUGUAGCCCUUUAGGCUAACAAU
rnacentral:lncRNA from 1 species